AUGGCCUGGGCUCCUCUCCUGUUCACAUUUCUGGCUCACUGCACAGGGGUCACUUCUCAGAAUGUGGUGAUUCAAGAAUCGUCAUUGUCCACAAACCCUGGGGGUACAGUUACAUUCACCUGUGGCUCCAGCACUGGGGCUGUCACCACCAAUAAUUAUGCUGAUUGGAUUCAACAGAAGCCCUACCAGAAGCCCCGGGCUCUAAUAGGUGAUGCCAGUCAUAGGCAUCCAGAUGUUCCUGCCCGAUUCUCUGGCUCCCUGCUUGGAAACAAGGCAGUGCUCACCAUCACUGGAGCCAAGGAAGAGGACGAGGCUGAGUAUUUCUGUGCUCUGUGGUUCAGCAAC